UAUGAAUAAUAGGCAUACUCAACUAGCAGGGGCUACAAUUUCCCUACCAUUAAGGGUCAAAUCACGAGGCAGGUUUUAGUAUUUAUAUUCCUAGAACGUCCACACCGGCGCUUCACAAUGACCAAUGUUCAUGUUCCACUGCUAAAAACAUGUACAGAACGUGGAACUAUUUUCCCUCCUUGGAUCUGCAAAUCAUUAAAUUCCCUCCUUAAAUUACACAAAAUAUUUCCCCUCCUCUGUUCACUUGUACCUCGUUUUGUUCCUUUCUCUUCUAAGCCAUUAUGGGAAACGAAGCUCAUGACCAACAAUACUCAAAAAAGUUGCAAGCAUAUGCUCACAGCCAAAAGCACAAGCUGAAGCCUAUUGUGAACUCAACUCCACCAGAGCUCAACUUGCUGCCACUCACUCACUCUUGUCUGAACUACACCACAGACUCAACUCCUCUAACUUACUUGUCCAGGCACUGCUUAUCGACCUUACGCGUCAACAAGAAAAGCAAUCCAACAGUGCUGAUCAGAAUCAAGUGAGUAGGAAGUUAGGGAAUGAUGAGCUUACUUUUGCACUUGGUCCUCACAAGCUCCCCUUUGGGUACUCACCAAUGAUAGGGUCAGAUGAGAUUCACACACCUGUUGGUGCAUUCUGCAUGAAGCUCCAUGAUGAGUUAAAUCGAUAUAUGACGUAUGAGAUUGGAGGGGAGUGCCCUAUGGAUUAUGUGCUUGCACAAAGGCUCAUGCUCAAAGGGUGUGAGCCACUCCCUCGUAGGAGAUGCCACCCCAAGUCUCCUGCAAAUUAUGUGGAGCCAACACCUUUGCCUGAGAGCCUUUGGUCAACCCCACCAGACACCAGCAUUGUAUGGGAGGCUUAUGCUUGUAAAAGUUACCAGUGCCUUGUUGACAGAAAGAAUAAGCCUGGCUCAUACAAUUGCAAGAGUUGCUUUGAUUUACAAGGGGAAGAGAGGAGUAGGUGGAUCUUUGAUGAUGGUGGACUUGGUUUUGGAAUAGACCAAGUUCUUGCAACCAAACCUGCAGGGACUAUUCGAAUUGGACUUGACAUUGGUGGUGGAACUGGAACUUUUGCUGCAAGGAUGAGGGAAAGGAAUGUCAUCAUCAUCACUAGCACACUGGAUCUGGAUGCUCCUUUCAACAACAUCAUUGCAUCAAGGGGUUUGGUACCGAUGCAUAUUAGCAUCUCUCAAAGGUUUCCAUUCUCUGACUACACACUGGACAUUGUACACUCCAUGGAUGUCUUGAGUAAUUGGAUACCAGACACCAUGCUUGAGUUUGUACUAUUCGAUAUAUACAGGGUUUUGAGGCCAGGUGGUCUGUUCUGGCUUGAUCAUUUCUUUUGCUUUGCGUCACAACUCAAUAAAACUUACGUGCCUAUGUUGGAUCGAAUUGGAUUCAAUAGAUUGAGGUGGCAAGUUGGAACCAAACUUGAUGAUGGGGUUCACAAGAAUGUGUUGUACAUUUCAUCCCUAAUGGAGAAACCAAUGACUUGAGGGUACAUCUAUUACUCUCAAGAAUUUCUUUCCCAACAACCAUUCAUCAUCAGAAGGUGGACUAGGAAGGAAGACGAUGUCUAAAGAUGAAACUGAAAAUGGGAAACUUUGCAUACUGGUUCAAUCAUAUUCAAAUGCUACAAAUGAUAAAUCUAAGGACAACUCUUACACAUGUAUCAGAGUCAUUUUCGAGCUAAAAAGUUUCGGAGGAAUUUGUCCUGAAAGCCUAUUCUUCCCAAGAUGACUGCAGACAAUAUUAGAAAUAUGUUGGAUGCACCUUUCAUUGCAUAAAUAAAAAUCAUUGAUAAAGAAAAACUGGAAGCUGAAGAGAAUUGAUGUACAAGUGCAAUGCAUUGUGUAACAUAUCAAGACCAGGGGUAGUGCCACUAGAUACAGGGAUGGAUCCAUCAAGCUGGUUGUCAGCUAAAUCUAGCCAAGUAAGAUUUGACAGAUUGCCAAUAGAAGGUGGAAUUGAUCCAGCAAAAUUGUUGGAGUUUAAAGAUCUGCCAUAAGAAGUUUCUGUUUUAGUGUAUUUACCCAAGAAUUCAAGUUACCACCAAAAGGGUAUUAUUUGAAUUGUCUUAAAAAAAUGAACAGCAAAAAAUAAAUCUUACAAGACUUCGAGUUGU